rnacentral:misc_RNA from 1 species
GAUGAAGAACGCAGCGAAAUGCGAUAAGUAAUGUGAAUUGCAGAAUUCAGUGAAUCAUCGAAUCUUUGAACGCACAUUGCGCCCGCCAGUAUUCUGGCGGGCAUGCCUGUUCGAGCGUCAUUUCAACCCUCAAGCCCCCUGUGGACUUGGUGUUGGGGACCGGCGACACAAACCCUCUCGGGGGUGCGAGUCGCCGCCCCCUAAAUGAAUUGGCGGCCUCGUCGCGGCCCUCCUCUGCGUAGUAGCAUACACCUCGCAACAGGAGCCCGACGACGGCCACUGCCGUAAAACGCACCAAACUUUUUUAGAGUUGACCUCGAAUCAGGUAGGAAUACCCGCUGAACUUAAGCAUAUCAAUAAGCGGAGGA